UGUUGAAGUGCUUUUCCACAACCACCAG
rnacentral:sRNA from 1 species